rnacentral:tRNA from 2 species
GGAAGGGUGGCAGAGCGGCCGAAUGCACCGGUCUUGAAAACCGGCGAAGGUAAAACUUCCGUGGGUUCAAAUCCCACCCCUUCCGCCA